rnacentral:rRNA from 1 species
AGAGUUUGAUCCUGGCUCAGGACGAACGCUGGCGGCGUGCCUAACACAUGCAAGUCGAACGGAACUGUUUUGAAAGAUUUCUUCGGAAUGAAUUUGAUUUAGUUUAGUGGCGGACGGGUGAGUAACGCGUGAGUAACCUGCCUUCAAGAGGGGGAUAACAUUCUGAAAAGAAUGCUAAUACCGCAUGACAUAUCGGAACCACAUGGUUUUGAUAUCAAAGAUUUUAUCGCUUGAAGAUGGACUCGCGUCCGAUUAGUUAGUUGGUGAGGUAACGGCUCACCAAGACCGCGAUCGGUAGCCGGACUGAGAGGUUGAACGGCCACAUUGGGACUGAGACACGGCCCAGACUCCUACGGGAGGCAGCAGUGGGGGAUAUUGCGCAAUGGGGGCAACCCUGACGCAGCAACGCCGCGUGAAGGAUGAAGGUUUUCGGAUUGUAAACUUCUUUUAUUAAGGACGAAAAAUGACGGUACUUAAUGAAUAAGCUCCGGCUAACUACGUGCCAGCAGCCGCGGUAAUACGUAGGGAGCAAGCGUUGUCCGGAUUUACUGGGUGUAAAGGGUGCGUAGGCGGCUUUGCAAGUCAGAUGUGAAAUCUAUGGGCUCAACCCAUAAACUGCAUUUGAAACUGUAGAGCUUGAGUGAAGUAGAGGCAGGCGGAAUUCCCCGUGUAGCGGUGAAAUGCGUAGAGAUGGGGAGGAACACCAGUGGCGAAGGCGGCCUGCUGGGCUUUAACUGACGCUGAGGCACGAAAGCGUGGGUAGCAAACAGGAUUAGAUACCCUGGUAGUCCACGCUGUAAACGAUGAUUACUAGGUGUGGGGGGUCUGACCCCU